UUUGGAUGAAUAUGAGGAUGAA
rnacentral:miRNA from 1 species